ACCAGACUCUAGCCCUGUAGCCUGGUCCUACCAGACUCUGAUCCAUUAGCUUGGUCCUACCGGACUCUCGUCCCUUAGCCCGGUCCUACCAGACUCUGUACAUUAGCCCGGUCUUACCCGACUCUGGUCCAUUAGCCCGG